CCUACGGGAGGCAGCAGUGGGGAAUAUUGGACAAUGGGGGGAACCCUGAUCCAGCCAUGCCGCGUGUGUGAAGAAGGCCUUAUGGUUGUAAAGCACUUUAAGCGAGGAGGAGGCUACUCUAGUUAAUACCUAGGGAUAGUGGACGUUACUCGCAGAAUAAGCACCGGCUAACUCUGUGCCAGCAGCCGCGGUAAUACAGAGGGUGCGAGCGUUAAUCGGAUUUACUGGGCGUAAAGCGUGCGUAGGCGGCUUAUUAAGUCGGAUGUGAAAUCCCCGAGCUUAACUUGGGAAUUGCAUUCGAUACUGGUGAGCUAGAGUAUGGGAGAGGAUGGUAGAAUUCCAGGUGUAGCGGUGAAAUGCGUAGAGAUCUGGAGGAAUACCGAUGGCGAAGGCAGCCAUCUGGCCUAAUACUGACGCUGAGGUACGAAAGCAUGGGGAGCAAACAGGAUUAGAUACCCUGGUAGUCCAUGCCGUAAACGAUGGGUACUAGGUGUUGGCCGUAUCGACCCGGUCAGUGCCGUAGCUAACGCGUUAAGUACCCCGCCUGGGGAGUACGGUCGCAAGAUUGAAACUCAAAGGAAUUGACGG
rnacentral:rRNA from 1 species